UACGGAGGGUGCAAGCGUUAUCCGGAUUCACUGGGUUUAAAGGGUGCGUAGGCGGGCAGGUAAGUCAGUGGUGAAAUCUCCGGGCUUAACCCGGAAACUGCCGUUGAUACUAUCUGUCUUGAAUAUCGUGGAGGUAAGCGGAAUAUGUCAUGUGGCGGUGAAAUGCUUAGAUAUGACAUAGAACACCAAUUGCGAAGGCAGCUGGCUACACAAAUAUUGACACUGAGGCACGAAAGCGUGGGGAUCAAACAGG
rnacentral:rRNA from 1 species